GGCAGGGCCCAGGCUGCCCUGGUGGCAUGAGCCAGGGGUGCUGGCAGCCUGCUGCCUUCUGUGCGCUGAGGUUCAGACCUUGCGUUUCCUCAGCUCUUGCCAGGAUCUGCAGCCAGAUGUCCCACAUAUGCUGUGAAAUACAUAGAAAAAAAAAAAAAGCCCACGAUGCUUCUGGCCUUCUUUGCUGCCAGGGAACGCUGCUGGCUCGUGUUUUGCCUCCUGUCCCCCAGCACCCUCACGUCCUUUUCCACAGAGCUGCUCCCCAGGCCCUCAGGCCCCAGCCUGUAACUCUGUGGGGUGUUGGGUUAUCACAGGUGCAAGACCUGUCAUUUGUCCUUAUUGAAUUUCAUGAGGUUCCUGACAGUCCAUUCCUCCUGCCUGUCUAGGUCCCUCUGAAUAGCAGCCCUCAGGCAUAGGACUGCCCCCCCCCACCCCCACCUCCAGUUAGGGGUCACCUACAAGCAUGAUGAGUGUUGCCUCCUCCAUGUAACUAAUACAGAUGAUAAAGAGGACAAGUUCCUGGAGAGACCCUCAGGUGCUCCACUUCUCCCUUGCCUCCAGGAAGAGUACUACCCAUUGACUGCUGCCCUCUCAGCUUCUGAUCAUCCAAGCAGCUUUUUACCCAUCUGCUUCUCUGCCCUUCUAGACUGCAACUUUCUAAUGUAUAUGAAAGAAUUUUGUGGGAGACAGUGUCAAACACCUUGCUAAAGUCUAGGUAAAGGACAUUUACCACACAUCCGAGCUGCCCCUUCACACAAAAGACAUCCUCCCUCCUCCUCUUCCCUGACAGUCUCUCCUGAAGACAUUGUACCCCACCAGUAUUGCCCUCCAGUCAU
rnacentral:lncRNA from 1 species